UACGAAGGGGGCUAGCGUUGCUCGGAAUCACUGGGCGUAAAGGGUGCGUAGGCGGGUCUUUUAAGUCAGGGGUGAAAUCCUGGAGCUCAACUCCAGAACUGCCUUUGAUACUGAGAUCUUGAGUUCGGGAGAGGUGAGUGGAACUGCGAAGUGUAGAGGUGAAAUUCGUAGAUAUUCGCAAGAACACCAGUGGCGAAGGCGGCUCACUGGCCCGAUACUGACGCUGAGGCA
rnacentral:rRNA from 1 species